GCUUCUCUCCCUCACGUAUUUUUUCUUCUGGAAAACCAAACUUGAAACUGAACUCUCUCUGCUCAUAGCGAACAACAACAACAUCUUCUCUUUCGUUUUUUAUUUCUACGAAACAAACAACAACGGCAAAGCUCUCUCACCAAACAGAAGAAACAAAUUCCAAUCUCUUCCUUCUUCUUUGUUGAAACAAAACCAUGGCCGCUUCCAGGGACUCUCGGUCUCCUUGCUCUUAUGGACAACAACCAGCGGCCCUUUCUCUCAUGCUUCGCCCGCGGUUUCUCUCGAUUUCGCGGUUGAACAACAACAACAAAAUCCGCUCUCGGUCUUGGCUUUCGGCGGACAAACAACAACAACUUUUGAUUGAAGACAAACUCAAGAAACUAGCAGCAACAAUUAUUAGUGAUAAAGAGUGAAAUCGAAUUACCUGCGGCAAGGAGGUGUUUGCCGGACUUUGUUGAAGGCUCUUUGAUGAAGGUGAUGCCACAACACCUCUUUGGAUAUUAGGGAGACUUGAAGAUGGAUUUCAAGUAGAAACCUUCCACCAAGGUAUGAACUACUUCUUCACCCCUUUUCAAACUAUGGAACUUUGUAGCUAUGAAUUCUCUCUUUUCAAGUGGUUUACCAAGAAACUUGAAAACUUAUGAGAGAAGAGGGAGAAAUGAGAAAGCUAGUAGUAUGGUAGCUUUGGUGUCCUUAACUUCAAAGAAAACACUUCUAUUUAUAGGAAAAGUUAAGGAUGUGUUUGGCAUUUGGUAAACUUUGAUUGGCAAGUUAUAAUCAUUGCAAGAAUAAGAAUAUUCUUCAUGACAUAUUGCUUAUGACAUAGCUAUGCAAGUGACAUAAAAAAUAUCUCUUUGGUUCCUUUUUGUUUUGACUUAUUUUUUUGAAUU